UACAAAGCAUUGGAUAGAGUCGUCCUAG
rnacentral:sRNA from 1 species